rfam:Xiphophorus maculatus strain JP 163 A Contig7813.1, whole genome shotgun sequence.
GGUCCCUUAGCUUACUAGAGCAUCUGUUUUGAAAGCAGAAUGGGGUUGAUCAUACAACCAGGGAUCU